GUAGGGAAUAUUGGGCAAUGGAUGCAAGUCUGACCCAGCCAUCCCGCGUGCCGGAAGAAGGCCCUUAGGGUUGUAAACGGCUUUUGACGGUGAAGAAUCGACAGGAUGCGUCCUGUUUUGACGGUAGCCGUUGAAUAAGCACCGGCUAACUCCGUGCCAGCAGCCGCGGUAAUACGGAGGGUGCGAGCGUUGUCCGGAUUUAUUGGGUUUAAAGGGUGCGUAGGCUGGAAGGUCAGUCAGCGGUGGAAAGCUGUCGCUUAACGAUAGUCUUGCCGCCGAUACUUCCUUUCUUGGAUGAGGAGGAGGCCACUGGAACGGAUGGUGUAGCGGUGAAAUGCAUCGAUAUCAUCCAGAACACCGAUUGCGAAGGCAGGUGGCUGUACCUUAAUCGACGCUGAUGCACGAAAGCAUGGGGAGCAAACAGGAUUAGAAACCCCAGUAGUCC
rnacentral:rRNA from 1 species